AUUGAACGCUGGCGGCAGGCCUAACACAUGCAAGUCGAACGAGUGGCGGACGGGUGAGUAAUGUCUGGGAAACUGCCCGAUGGAGGGGGAUAACUACUGGAAACGGUAGCUAAUACCGCAUACCAUCGGAUGUGCCCAGAUGGGAUUAGCUAGUAGGUGGGGUAACGGCUCACCUAGGCGACGAUCCCUAGCUGGUCUGAGAGGAUGACAAGCCACACUGGAACUGAGACACGUUCCAGACUCCUACGUGAGGCAGAGGUGGGGAAUAUUGCACAAUGGGCGCAAGCCUGAUGCAGCCAUGCCGUGUGUAUGAAUAAGGACAUCGGGUUGUAAAGUACUUUCAGCGAGGAGGCGUUACUCUCAGAAGAAGCACCGGCUAACUACGUGCCAGCAGCCGCGGUAAUUC
rnacentral:rRNA from 1 species